CUGCCACGUACUAGAAAGAACCUUGGGUGUGGAGACCUGGAGCUGAUCUGUGUGACUUCAGACUGUCUCUCCUCCUUUUCUGAGCCUGUUUCCCCUUGUAUGAGGCAAGGGAGCCCAUUGCACAAAACAGGCCAUAGUCACACUGCUCAGAGUGAAGCAGGUGGGGGCCUGGGGCUCACCCUUCCCUUGGUUUUCACAGAAGCCAUCGAGAUGCCUCCAAGGACCCCAAGGCUCUGAGGGACUCAGGAUCCUCAAAGCGCCCCCCCCCCCCGCCCCGCCUUGUUCAUAUUGCCUCCCUGCCAGCUCGCAUCCCCUCAAAGACAAAGCCAGGUGGAGGCUCCUCUCUGGCCAGUGGCAGUCUGCUUCCUGAGCUACUGUCCCCUCUCCCAAACAGGGUAAGCCUCCCCCUUGCCACUCCCACAGCUCUGCCUGAGGCAUGGAGCACCAGGUUCUCAGCUCAUGUGCGAUUCUUCCCGCUUCAGGCCUCAGUGUCUCUGUGCGCAUGGACCUGUCAGACUCAGGGGACUGCAGAGGCCUGUCCAGCUGUGACAGCAAGACCACAGACAGUCCGGAGAUGGACUGGCAGGGUCUGGGCUUACAGUGCCUGGCUCGGGGCCAGUGCCUACAGGGAAGUCCCGCCUGUCCCCUGGGCAGGUGGAGCGGGCUGCACAGAGCCUUUCCCACAUUCCUGGCCAGCCCGGCCUCCUUAUAUAGCUGUUUCCAGGCUGGGUCCAUGCUCUGUGCCCCAAGGGAGCAGACCUUCUGUGGCGACCAGGCCUGGGCCUGCUCGCUGGGUUCCUGGGGAGGCUCUUUCCCCAGACUGCUGAACGGGUAUGUCUUCCCAAGUAAUCCCAAUCACAUCCAUAGUCAAAGGGAGAGCUGUAUAGAUGCGCCAGAGGUGAGGCUCCUGGCUAAGUCAUGCUAAGGAAGGGGAAUAUUUACUUAUAGCCACAGACCCAGCCUCCUUCCCUUGGGGCAGAUGCUACUGGCGUUGACCGAGGCAGGGCUAAUGGAGGAGCCCCCUUCCCGGCCCUUGCAAGCCUGUCACUGCGCCAGGGUCCCAAGUAGGCCCUGAAGAUGGUACCCUUCCCCAGUUCCCACCCCUGGGAUAGUGUCACUGAGUCCUCCUUCCCCGACCAAGGAUCUGGCACCUGGCCACUUUUCUGAAGCCUCUUUAUCCCAUCUGUGGCCCCAGACUCAGGAGCCAAGCUUUCCCAGAGCCACAGGGACAUAAGCACCAGCUGCAUCCAGAUCCCCUAGUAUUUAUUCGCUUUAUUGCUACUUGUUAUGAAAGCAGUCUUUCAACUUUAUUAAAGGAAAAUUGAAAAAACAUCAUCUGUAAUCCUACCCCAGGCCCUCCAGCCACCUCCUGUGGUCUGAGCCCACGACACCGGCACUGCCUUGGCGUGCUGACAGAUCGGCGUUCUGCCGUUUCUCACUCCAGGCGUGACUCACGGGCUCCCUUGACACGGCUGACCUCCGUGUAGGCCACCUGAACAUCGUCCCCUUCAGGAGCUCUGUGCUCUCUCUGUUCCAUGCUUCCCUCAGGAGGUUCCCCAGAGCGGGACUUCUGGGCCACCACGUGUGGGCAUCUUUAUGGCCCUCGGUUUGUAUUGCCAAGUGCAGAUCUUGUUUCAGAGGCCUUGCUGGAGUUGCACCAAGAGUCCUGGCUAGAAUAAUGGGGCCCAAAGAGCAUCCUGAGGCCCCAGCAGAGAGAAGGGGGGCUCCUUGACCUAGCCUCUCUCAUCCCAGAAAUAAGGUGUAUCCAUCCUGCCUUGGCCCCAGCAGAUCUUGCCCCACUCAGGCACCCCAAGGGCUGCUUGGUGCAUCUGGGGUCCCACUGCCCAGUCACACUGACCUGACUUCCAGGUCCCUGCCUCCUGCAAACCACCCUCUGGCCCUCUUUCCAACCACGCCUGUGCUUCUCCCAGGCUGGGCUUAUGGAGAGCAGGCCAGUUCACUGCUAUGUCCUCCAGUCCUAGGGAGCCUGUCGGCGAGAUGAGCCAUGCAAGGGGUGGUGGUGGUUUGGUCGGAUUCUGGACCAUUCAGAAGGGGCGCCAGCACCUAACUCCCACCUGAGCCUGCUCCUGCUCAGUACACGUUCCCAUCCCCAGCCAAGGUCCACAGGACAUUCGCAGUUUGCCUGCUUAUCUGAGGCCACUGCGGUGUUUGGCUUGCAGAUCCCAAUUUCCCAGAACCUGCCCCCACAGGGGCGGGGCAGCGAGCAAGUUACAAAUUCAUUGCGCUCUUCCUCUCAAGUUCAGAAGCAGCCUGCCAGGCACCAGAGCCAAAAUGAAGACCCCAGCCCCUGGCCGCGCCUGUGGCGUCGUGCUGGUCCUGCUCUCGCUGGCCACCCUCCAGACCCUCAGGGCCCAAAAGAAUGACAUCGACAUCUACAGCCUCACUGUAGACUCCAGGGUCUCAUCCCGAUUUGCCCACACAGUCGUCACCAGCCGGGUGGUCAACAAGGCCAGUACUUUGCAGGAGGUCACCUUCCAGAUGGAGCUGCCCAAGAAGGCCUUUAUCACCAACUUCUCCAUGAUCAUUGAUGGUGUGACCUACCCCGGUAACAUCAAGGAGAAGGCUGCAGCCCAGGAGCAGUACAGUGCGGCUGUGGAGAGGGGAGAGAGCGCCGGCCUCGUCAAGGCCACUGGGAGAAAGACAGAGCAGUUCCAGGUGUCAGUCAGUGUGGCGCCCGCUGCCAAGAUCACCUUCGAGCUGGUGUAUGAGGAGCUCCUGGUGCGGCAUCUGGGAGCGUACGAGCUGCUGCUGAAAGUCCAGCCCCAGCAGCUGGUCAAGCACCUGCAGAUGGACAUUUACAUCUUUGAGCCUCAGGGUAUCAGCUUUCUGGAGACAGAGAGCACCUUCAUGACCAAUGAACUGGCAGAGGCCCUCACCACCACACAGAACAAGACCAAGGCUCAUGUCCGAUUCAGGCCAACGCUGUCCCAGCAGCAAAAGUCUCCAGAGCAGCAGCAGGACACAGUCCUGGAUGGCAACUUCAUCGUCCGCUAUGAUGUGGACCGGACUGUCUCCGGGGGUUCCAUUCAGAUCGAGAAUGGCUACUUUGUGCACUACUUUGCCCCUGAGCACCUGGCCACGAUACCCAAGAACGUGAUCUUUGUCAUUGACAAGAGCGGCUCCAUGAGCGGCAGGAAAAUCCAGCAGACCCGGGAAGCCCUCAUCAAGAUCCUGGGUGACCUCGGUCCCCGUGACCAGUUCAACCUCAUCAGCUUCAGUGGGGAAGCAACCCCGUGGAAGCCACAGCUAGUGGCAGCCUCGGCUGAGAACGUGAAUGAGGCCAAGAGCUACGCCACUGCCAUCCAGGCCCAGGGAGGGACCAAUAUAAACGAUGCGAUGCUGAUGGCCGUGCAGCUGCUAGAGAGAGCCAACCGGGAGGAGCUGCUGCCCCCAGGAAGCGUCACCCUCAUCAUCCUCCUCACCGACGGCGACCCCACUGUGGGGGAAACCAACCCCUCAGAGAUCCAGAAGAACGUUCAGGAAGCCAUAGACGGCCAGCACAGCCUCUUCUGCCUGGGCUUCGGCUUCGACGUCAGCUACGCCUUCCUGGAGAAGCUGGCACUGGACAACGGUGGCCUGGCCCGGCGCAUCUAUGAGGACUCGGACUCCGCACUGCAGCUCCAGGACUUCUACCAAGAGGUGGCCAACCCACUGAUGACAUCGGUGGCCUUCGAGUACCCAAGCAACACCGUGGAGGCGGUCACACAGGACGCCUUCCGGCUGUUCUUCAAGGGCUCCGAGUUGGUGGUGGCCGGGAAGCUCCGGGACCAGAGCCCUGAUGUGUUCUCAGCCAAAGUCAGGGGGCAGCUGCACAUGGAGAACAUCACCUUUGUAACGGAGUCCCGCGUGGCAGAGCAGGAGGAGGCGUUCUGGAGCCCCAGAUACAUCUUCCACAGCUUCAUGGAGAGACUGUGGGCGUACCUGACCAUCCAGCAACUGCUGGAGCAAACAGUCUCCACGCUAGAUGCUGAGAAGCAGGCUCUUGAGGCCCGAGCUCUGAACUUGUCGCUCAGCUACAGUUUUGUCACCCCGCUCACGUCCAUGGUGAUCACCAAACCCGAAGGUCAAGAGCAGUCUCAGGUUGCUGAGAAACCCGUGGAAAAUGAAAACAGACACAGGAACGUCCACUCAGGUCACACUCUCUUCAGAUAUCAUUCCGUGGGAGGCAAAGCGUCCAGAGUAUCAGGACCACCUGGACCUCUUCAUCCUCCUCAUCUUCCUUAUCCACCCCACCGUACGCCCUGGAGACCAACGCCACCAGACGUGAUGCCACGGCUAUCAGCUACCUCAUUUCUUGAUGAACAUGACAUGGACUUAAGAAUCAAAGAAACAACCACGGCAUCCCCACACCACGCCCCCAUCCAGCCUCCUUCUGUCAUCCUGCCGCUGCCUGGGCAGAGCGUGGACCGGCUCUGUGUGGACCUCAAGCGCUCUCAGGGACCGACAAACCUGCUCUCAGACCCUGGCCAAGGGGUUGAGGUGACUGGCCACUAUGAGACAGAGAAGGGCCACUUCUCGUGGAUUGAGGUGACCUUCGAGAAACCCCAGCUGCAGGUUCGUGCAUCCCCUGAGCACGUGGUAGUGACUCGGAACCGAAGAAGCUCUGCAUACAAGUGGAAGAAAACUCUGUACUCGGUGAUGCCAGGUCUCAAGAUGACCAUGGACAAGGCGGGGCUUCUGCUGCUCAGCAGCCCUGACAGAGUGACCAUCGGCCUGCUGUCCUGGGACAGCCCUGGGGCGGGGCUCCGGCUCCUUCUGCGGGACACUGACCGCUUCUCCAGGCACAUCAAUGGGACCCUUGGCCAGUUUUACCAGGACGUGCUCUGGGAGCCCCUGGCAGCAGCAGAUGACAGCAAGCGAACACUGAAGGUCCAGGGGCAUGACCACUCUGCCACCAGAGAGCUCAAGCUGGACUACCAAGAGGGGCCCCCGGGAACGGAGAUUUCCUGCUGGUCUGUGGAGCUGUAGUUCUGAUGCAAGGAGUUAUGCCCACCCACCGUGCCGCCUGCUGGGUGCAGAUGGCUGCCACCCUGCGACCACAGGGCCACCUAUGGGUCCUGUAACAUCAUGGGGAGAGCCGCAUCGGUGGAGAGGCCCAGGAAGUUGCCUUCCUAGCAGCCAGCCCUUCCUUCGAGCUGCCUGUCCCCUGGAGCAGGGGCUCAUGGAAGCAUGCAGACACUGGUAGCCGUCCGGUUUCUCCUUGGCCUUUACUGUCACAGCCCUCCAUCAGGCCCCACUCUGUGCCUCCGUUCCAGAUGCCAUGCAAGCCCUGCCAGCCGCCUCAGUAGGAGCUGGCAUGUCCACUCAGAACAGGCUGGGGACAAUGUAGUCGCUGUGGACGCCGUCAAUCAGCCCUUGCCCAUUGUUGUGGACGAACCAGCAGGCAACUUUUGUGCCAAUGCUGAUGUCCUUCCUGUAGUCCUUCUGGGAGCCCCUGGGAGAAAGGAGAGAGAUGCUGUGAUACACGGGGUAGGCAAGAUGGCUGCUGCGCCCAAGGACCUAAGGUUGAAAAGGCGUGUGAAGUUGCCAAUUCUAGGAGUCCAAACUCUGGUCAAGAAUGAGGCCUUGUGGUUACUCCUUCUAGGGGGUCAGAUUUGGCCUUUUCCCAGUUAGAGGGGGCCAAGACCCCAGAGGGAAACAAGGAUGCCCCACAGACGACAAGAGCCAGCUGGGCUGAUGUACGUGGGCAGAGAGCGCUCCUUCCUCCUGUCUUGUGACAGGGCAGGGUGAGGA